rnacentral:misc_RNA from 1 species
UUUCCGUAGGUGUACCUGCGGAAGGAUCAUUAUCGUACAACGGGGGUACGAGGGCUGUCGCUGACCCUUCGAAGGGUCGUGCACGCUCGAGCACUCUCAUAAAUCCAUCUCACCCCUUUGUGCAUCACCGCGUGGGUUCCCUUUGCAGGGAGGCCCACGUUUUCACACAAAACUUGAUACAGUGUAGAAUGUUAUUUUUGCGGUCACACGCAAUCAAUACAACUUUCAACAACGGAUCUCUUGGCUCUC